rnacentral:tRNA from 1 species
CCUGGUGGCUCAGAGGGUAAAGCGUCUGCCUGCAAUGCAGAAGACCUGGGUUUGAUCCCUGGGUCAGGA